rnacentral:rRNA from 1 species
UACAGAGGAUGCAAGCGUUAUCCGGAAUGAUUGGGCGUAAAGCGUCUGUAGGUGGCUUUUUAAGUCCGCCGUCAAAUCCCAGGGCUCAACUCUGGACAGGCGGUGGAAACUACCAAGCUUGAGUACGGUAGGGGCAGAGGGAAUUCCUGGUGUAGCGGUGAAAUGCGCAGAUAUCAGGAGGAACACCGGUGGCGAAGGCGGGUCUCUGGGCCGAUAUUGACGCUGAGGAGCGAAAAGCAUGGGGAGCGAACAGG